UGGGUGACCUUUCCUGCAGUAAUCUUCUAUUCAUCUGGAAAAAGGGAGUGGAUUUUUUCAAGAUGUUCUCCUCUAACAGUAAAAGCAGGGGAAGUCGGUCAGGAGAGAAAUGUUCCAUGUGAACGGCAAUUGAAAGCGCAAUGGAGCACAGGCCACAGGACCUGGUCACAGAGCAUUAACUACACAUCGGCAUCAUGCGUCAUUAAAGAAAUGAGGUUUGCUUAUUGAGUGGCAAUCAGCAAGUAAAGGACAUCUAAAAGACAGCCAGGAUGAACGGGAGAGAUACAGAAAUGCACUUCCUCUACACAGGUAUUCCA
rnacentral:lncRNA from 1 species